UCCCCUAGUAACUGCGAGUGAAGCGGGAAAAGCUCARAUUUAAAAUCUGGCAGUUUAGGCUGUCCGAGUUGUARUCUGGAGAAGUGUUUUCCUUGUUGGACCGUGCAAAAGUCUCUUGGAAUAGAGCAUCAUAGAGGGUGAGAAUCCCGUCUUUGGCACGGACUACCAAUGCUUUGUGAUACGCUCUCAAAGAGUCGAGUUGUUUGGGAAUGCAGCUCAAAAUGGGUGGUAAAUUCCAUCUAAAGCUAAAUAUUGGCGAGAGACCGAUAGCGAACAAGUACCGUGAGGGAAAGAUGAAAAGCACUUUGGAAAGAGAGUUAAACAGUACGUGAAAUUGUUGAAAGGGAAACGCUUGAAGUCAGUCGCGUCGUCCGGGACUCAGCCUUGCUUCUGCUUGGUGUAUUUCCCGGUUGACGGGCCAACAUCGAUUUUUGCUGGUGGAAAAAGGUGGGGGGAAUGUGGCACCUUUYGGUGUGUUAUAGCCCCUCAUUGUAUGCAUCAGCGGGGAUCGAGGACCGCAGCACGCCCUUGUGGCCGGGGUUCGCCCACGUAACGUGCUUAGGAUGUUGGCAUAAUGGCUUUAAUCGACCCGUCUUGAAACACGGACCAAGGAGUCUAACAUGCCUGCGAGUGUUAGGGUGAUAAACCCUUGCGCGUAAUGAAAGUGAAAGUUGGGAUCCUUGUCAUGGGGGAGCACCGACGCCCGGCCUUGAACUUCUGU
rnacentral:rRNA from 1 species